GAUGAAGAACGUAGCGAAAUGCGAUACGUAAUGUGAAUUGCAAAUUCAGUGAAUCAUCGAGUCGUUGAACGCACAUUGCGCCCCCUGGUAUUCCGGGGGGCAUGCCUGUCCGAGCGUCAUUGCUGCCCUCAAGCACGGCUUGUGUGUUGGGCCCCGUCCUCCGAUCCCGGGGGACGGGCCCGAAAGGCAGCGGCGGCACCGCGUCCGGUCCUCGAGCGUAUGGGGCUUUGUCACCCGCUCUGUAGGCCCGGCCGGCGCUUGCCGAUCAACCCAAAUUUUUAUCCAGGUUGACCUCGGAUCAGGUAGGGAUACCCGCUGAACUUAAGCAUAUCAAUAAGCGGAGGA
rnacentral:misc_RNA from 1 species